AGUUGACGAGGUGACCAAAGAGCCCCCUUAAUUCCUAUGAUCGCCAUCCUGUAGAUGCGGUCGUAUACCUUUCGGAAUGUGGCCUUGCCCAUUGCAGGCCACCACACGAGUGAGGCAUAGGUGAUUUGAGGUAGUAUUGAUGGCUGUGAAUAUCCAUCGGACUACCCGUAGUUGUAGUCCCCAAGUUUAGCCGACCAUCCUUCUGCAGGCCCAGUAGGUGGCCGUAGCCUUCUGUGCCUGGUGGUUGAUGUGGGCCCUCUAUGUAAGUUUGGGAUCCAGGAUGACUCCCCGGUAGCGCAGCCCGGUAUAAAGGGUUAAUCUUUACCGGAAGAUCUCGAUAUGUCCCAUCCUGAGGUUGCGCUUCCUGGUGAAAAGUAACAUCUCGGUUUUGCUAGGAUUAAUCCUGUGU